rnacentral:rRNA from 1 species
AGGUUAAGUUAUGAAGGGCGCACGGUGGAUGCCUUGGCACUAGGAGCCGAUGAAGGACGGUACUAACACCGAUAUGCUUCGGGGAGCUGUAAGUAAGCAUUGAUCCGAAGAUUUCCGAAUGGGGAAACCCACUGCUCGUAAUGGGGCAGUAUCCUUACCUGAAUACAUAGGGUAAGCGAAGGUAGACCCGGGGAACUGAAACAUCUUAGUACCCGGAGGAAGAGAAAGCAAACGCGAUUUCCUGAGUAGCGGCGAGCGAAACGGAAGAUAGCCCAAACCAAGAGGCUUGCCUCUUGGGGUUGUAGGACACUCUAUACGGAGUUACAAAAGAGCGAAGUAGACGAAGUGACCUGGAAAGGUCCGUCAGAGAAGGUAACAACCCUGUAGUUGAAACUUCGUUCUCUCUUGAGUGGAUCCUGAGUACGGCGGGACACGAGAAAUCCCGUCGGAAGCUGGGAGGACCAUCUCCCAAGGCUAAAUACUCCCUAGUGACCGAUAGUGAACCAGUACCGUGAGGGAAAGGUGAAAAGCACCCCGGGAGGGGAGUGAAAGAGAACCUGAAACCGUGUGCCUACAAGUAGUCAAAGCACAUUUAUGUGUGAUGGCGUGCCUUUUGUAGAAUGAACCGGCGAGUUACGAUCCC